rnacentral:rRNA from 1 species
GACGAACGCUGGCGGCGUGCUUAACACAUGCAAGUCGAACGGAAAGGCCCUGCUUUUGUGGGGUGCUCGAGUGGCGAACGGGUGAGUAACACGUGAGUAACCUGCCCUUGACUUUGGGAUAACUUCAGGAAACUGGGGCUAAUACCGGAUAGGAGCUCCUGCUGCAUGGUGGGGGUUGGAAAGUUUCGGCGGUUGGGGAUGGACUCGCGGCUUAUCAGCUUGUUGGUGGGGUAGUGGCUUACCAAGGCUUUGACGGGUAGCCGGCCUGAGAGGGUGACCGGGCACAUUGGGACUGGGGUACGGCCCAGAAUUCUACGGGAGGCAGGAGUGGGGAAUAUUGCACAAUGGGCGGAAGCCUGAUGCAGCAACGCCGCGUGCGGGAUGACGGCCUUCGGGUUGUAAACCGCUUUCGCCUGUGACGAAGCGUGAGUGACGGUAAUGGGUAAAGAAGCACCGGCUAACUACGUG